GUGAACGCUGGCGGUAGGCCUAACCCCUGCCAGUCGAACGGCAGCACAGUAAGAGCUUGCUCUUACGGGUGGCGAGUGGCGGACGGGUGAGGAAUACAUCGGAAUCUACUUUUUCGUGGGGGAUAACGUAGGGAAACUUACGCUAAUACCGCAUACGACCUACGGGUGAAAGCAGGGGAUCUUCGGACCUUACGCGAUUGAAUGAGCCGAUGUCGGAUUAGCUAGUUGGCGGGGUAAAGGCCCACCAAGGCGACGAUCCGUAGCUGGUCUGAGAGGAUGAUCAGCCACACUGGAACUGAGACACGGUCCAGACUCCUACGGGAGGCAGCAGUGGGGAAUAUUGGACAAUGGGCGCAAGCCUGAUCCAGCCAUACCGCGUGGGUGAAGAAGGCCUUCGGGUUGUAAAGCCCUUUUGUUGGGAAAGAAAAGCAGCAGGUUAAUACCCCGCUGUUCUGACGGUACCCAAAGAAUAAGCACCGGCCAACUUCGUG
rnacentral:rRNA from 1 species